ensembl:snoRNA LOC120102705 small nucleolar RNA SNORA17
UCUGUCUCUAGGUGCAGUGUGAUUCGAGCUGCUGUGUCUCUUGUGCAUCAGUAGGUGGCAGACAGGAAAGAGGAUACAUCUAUGCCCAGUAUUCUGACCUAUGAAUUUCUAAAUUGAUCAGUUCCCUCAUUGU